rnacentral:rRNA from 1 species
GGGUUGUGAGGUUAAGCGACUAAGCGUACACGGUGGAUGCCCUGGCAGUCAGAGGCGAUGAAGGACGUGCUAAUCUGCGAAAAGCGUCGGUAAGGUGAUAUGAACCGUUAUAACCGGCGAUGUCCGAAUGGGGAAACCCAGUGUGAUUCGUCACACUAUCGUUAACUGAAUACAUAGGUUAACGAGGCGAACCGGGGGAACUGAAACAUCUAAGUACCCCGAGGAAAAGAAAUCAACCGAGAUUCCCCCAGUAGCGGCGAGCGAACGGGGAGCAGCCCAGAGUCUGA